CUCGCCAUAAAACUCUAGUAGGUGAGUGAUCAUAGCCCUGACAGUGGGCAUAUGCUCAUACUAGCUCUGCAACUCAUUUGACAUAGAUGCCAAUACAUAGCACUUACCCGACUGUCUUCGUCUGUCCAUUUUUUAUAAGUUAUUCUUUGCAUAGCAGUAGGAUGGUUUGGUAACAUUAGGGGUUUCUGAUCGAGUACAUGAUCUAAUUUUUUAGAAGUCAAGACAAUCCUAAGAUUUCUUAACCAGUCUUUGUAGUUUGUUUCGAUCAAAUGAUUGGAUUAAAGGAUGCAGGCUAGAAGGUUUGAAGCUGACAUUAUUUAACUGCAAGAGUAAAGAUUCAAGUUAGACUUUUAUAUUUUAAAUUUAUAUUUACUCUAGAGAUUUUAAGAUGCAAACAAUGACUUUCACUAAUUUGUCAGAUCCCUCCACUCUUCGAUGGGAAACGAAAACCCCAAUGCGACAACCAAAUGCAUGGACACCAAUAUCAUGUACCUCACCUAACAGUUAUUGAUAACAUACACACCGAUGCAUGGACAACUCUUUUUCUAGAAACUUCUCUAAGAAUGUUGUAGCGACUUGAUCUCUAAAUUAUGUGGGCUCACCUAAUAGUUAUUGACCACACUCUUUAGUUAAGUCUGACCCACCAUUCAC
rnacentral:lncRNA from 1 species